rnacentral:sRNA from 2 species
AAAAUAGCCUGUUAGGUGAGGUUACUAUACAGAUGAAUGCUACUGCCCGGAAAUAUCGAAAGAUGCCAACGUGGUUAACAAAAAUGUCCGACCUAAGGAGUUUUUAACGUAGCUGGGUUAAAUCCCUAGGCUGUAUUGAGCCAAAACUCAACGAAGAGGUGUGCUU